UGCUUAUCUUAUGAUGGGCCCAUUUAUUUUUCCAAAAAGCCAUUUGCUCCUCUGUUUGUAAGAUACCCAAUCUGGGAUAAUUGUGAUGAUGGGCACAAAACUUGGGGCCUCCCUAUGAACAAAUUCCCUACAUGU
rfam:Otolemur garnettii contig055775, whole genome shotgun sequence.